rnacentral:rRNA from 1 species
UACGGAAGGGGCGAGCGUUGUUCGGAAUCAUUGGGCGUAAAGGGCGCGUAGGUGGUGCUGUAUGUCUCCCGUGAAAGCCCACGGCUCAACUGUGGGAGGUCGGGAGAAACUGCAGGACUUGAGGCUGGGAGGGGCUGGUGGAAUUCCCUGUGUAGCGGUGAAAUGCGUAGAGAUGGGGGAGAACACUCGUGGCGAAGGCGGCCAGCUAGACCAGUUCUGACACUGAGGCGCGACAGCGUGGGGAGCAAACAGGAUUAGAAACCCCCGUAGUCC